rnacentral:lncRNA from 1 species
ACCUCUGUCUCCUCACAUCGCCGAUUAGGGUUUCAAGCUACCUCUCAUGGCAGAACGACAAUUACUUUCAUAUAUUUUUGUUUUUAUGGUUUGGCUCAACAGAUUCUUUUUUAUUUAUAUCUUUUCUUGUUUGAUUUGGCAUAUGAUGAAGAAAUCUUAUCCUACACACCGAAUUCACCGUGUGGAAUACAACUCCGCUUAUUAUCUGAUGCCUUUCUUCAAAAUUGUUUUCAUCGUUUUGAUAUUUUUAACUCUUUUCUUUUGUUUGAAUAGUUUGUUAGAUUUUAAUUUGAUUUGAGAUGUGUGUAUUCUGCGAUGAUGAUUUGCAUAAUACGUCUGCAAAUACGAGAUUAAUCGAUGAGUUUGAAAUUGUAUGCUCUCGCUGAGUAGAAUAUGCACAUCUCUUUUGAUGUUUAUUAGGCAGUUUCAAUAUUCCCAAAUCGAGUGCUGAAUAUAUACAUUUAUGUUGUCUUUUUAAUAUGCAAUUACUGCAAUGUCUCGUAAAUCCUACACCAUCAUAGUGUUCUGACCGAAUGAGCCAUUGCUUUUUUGGAUCGAAAUGGAAUCAUACAAAAUGAUUAUGUUACAGAUAAAAUGCUAAUAAAAAGAUGAGGUCUGUAUAAAAUGGAUCUCUAAAAAUAUUGGUCCAUAUUGGACCACUUUUUUCAACCAUUUGAUUAGAUUAUCACACCAAACUAUAUCAUAGUCUA